rnacentral:lncRNA from 1 species
UCAAGACCAGCCUGAACUGCAUAGUGAGGCCCUGUCUCAAAAAGACAAAAAAAAAAAAAGGUCAUCACUGUCUCUGGUUAUUGCUUUAUUUUUAAUUUACCUGGCUUUUUAGUUUCAGACUCACUUUUACAAUGAUAUAAAAUGAUAAAGCUAACAAGUGGAUUGUACAAAAUGUAGAUGAUAGGAAACUGGGAGCUAAAUACUGCAGAGAUGGAAAGUGGAUCUGGAGACUGGGGGAGAAUGAAGAGCAAAGAGGGGAGGGAGAAAUAAACAGGAUUGAGACAGGAUGUGUGCUGUACCUGCUCUCUACAGUGAACAUAGUGAUCAUGCAUUAAUGUCAUUCUCAUCACAUAUUCCAUACAAUGCAACAAACUAAAGAUAUCAAGUUGCACCACAUCAGCACUUCCUAAAGUUAUUUUUAAAAAACUCUGCCUAAGUGUUGUAUUCUGUCCCAAAUGUGCAGAAGCUCAGAGCACUUUUCCAGGGGUCCCGAGGACUCUUACCAAGAGGACUUGCUGCUCUGUAUCCAUCUUACCACAUGUUUAUUUUCUAUUUUUCCUCUCAGUACAGGAAUUUUGAUCAAAGAGUAUAAUGACUAUGCUCUAGAAUUAUAAUUUCCACUGCUGUAUUAUUCUUUAGAGCAAGUUCUCAGCAGUGAGAAGAUUAGGAGUUAGAGAAAGAGUGCUUGGAAAUCAGAAAUCAAUGAAAGAGAAUUUUGAAACAUGCAAUUUUAUCUUCAUAAGAAAUGAGUUACAGUUGGUCUGGAAAGUGAUGAUAGUUUUCUUUGGGUAGGAAUUCAAGAUAAAGAAAACUGGGCAGCAUGAGAUGAAGACAUAGAAAUUGCUUGGAGUUUGUGAGCUUUUGUCGUCCAAAGGAAGGGAACUGUGUUGAAGAACAUUCAUUUUAAGGACAGUACAUCUGCAGUCAUGCAAAGGAUCACAGCUUGUAUAAAGCAAUAUCAUCAACAGCAUCAUUAUGGUCAUUCAAGACAUAGACCCCAGUGAUCCAUCUGAGCUAUGUUGUGUGCAGAAAACAACGAUUAAACCAUGGUAUAUUGUAGGGGUGCUCCAGAUGAUAGGUGGUGUGGCACUGAAUGUCCUGUGGGCAGUAGUCAUUUCCAACUCAUCUCAUUAUGAACUUUCUAUGAAACAGUCAGACCCUGUAUUGCCGUACAUCUAUCUCUUGGUGCCUCUCAUUUAUGUCUCAUCAGGAAUUCUGACCGUUAUGGCUGAAAACACACAGAAUAUCAAUGUGAUUGUGGCCUUCAUAUUGGUAAAAUUUGUGAGCUUUCUAGCUUCGCUGGCAUUCACAGUAAUGCAUGGUGCAAAUUCAUUUGCAUUUGCACGGAUGAAAGCUAUAUUCCCUGCAGACAUCGCAUCUGUAAGUAUUUCCACAUCCAGGGAUGCAAUUUCUUGGCAUUUACCCACAUUCAAAG